rnacentral:rRNA from 1 species
UACAGAGGGUGCAAGCGUUGUUCGGAAUUAUUGGGCGUAAAGGGAGUGUAGGCGGUUUGUUAAGUCUUCUGUGAAAUCUACGGGCUUACCCUGUAAAGUGCAGAGGAAACUAGCAGGCUUGAGUGUCGGAGAGGAUAGGGGAAUUCCCGGUGUAGAGGUGAAAUUCGUAGAGAUCGGGAGGAACACCAGUGGCGAAGGCGCCUAUCUGGCUGACAACUGACGCUGAGACUCGAAAGCAUGGGGAGCAAACAGG